UGACUGGUUUGGCCGGUUGAUGUAUGG
rnacentral:piRNA from 1 species